UACGGGGGGGGCAAGCGUUGUUCGGAAUUACUGGGCGUAAAGGGCUCGUAGGCGGCCAACUAAGUCAUACGUGAAAUCCCUCGGCUUAACCGGGGAACUGCGUCUGAUACUGGAUGGCUUGAGUUCGGGAGAGGGAUGCGGAAUUCCAGGUGUAGCGGUGAAAUGCGUAGAUAUCUGGAGGAACACCGGUGGCGAAGGCGGCAUCCUGGACCGGUAUUGACGCUGAGGAGCGAAAGCCAGGGGAGCAAACGGG
rnacentral:rRNA from 1 species